AGGUCAUUGCUAUUGGAGUCCGAUUUAGCCAUGCUAGUUGUACGAGUUUAGACUCGUAGCAGAUAGCUCAGUAACACGUGGCCAAACUACCCUAUCGAGCACGAUACUCUCGGGAAACUGAGGUUAAUAGUGCAUACGGCUCGCUGCCUGGAGUGGCGCGAGCUAGAAAUGCUCAGGCGCGAUAGGAUGUGGCUGCGGCCGAUUAGGUAGACGGUGGGGUAACGGCCCACCGUGCCGAUAAUCGGUACGGGUUGUGAGAGCAAGAGCCCGGAGACGGUAUCUGAGACAAGAUACCGGGCCCUACGGGGCGCAGCAGGCGCGAAACCUUUACACUGCACGAGAGUGCGAUAAGGGGACUCCAAGUGCGAGGGCAUAUAGUCCUCGCUUUUUCCGACCGUAGGAUGGUCGGCGAAUAAGUGCUGGGCAAGACCGGUGCCAGCCGCCGCGGUAAUACCGGCAGCACAAGUGAUGACCGCUAUUAUUGGGCCUAAAGCGUCCGUAGCUGGCCACGCAAGUCCAUCGGGAAAUCUCUCCGCUCAACGGAGAGGCGUCCGGUGGAAACUGCAUGGCUUGGGACCGGAAGAUCCAGAGGGUACGUCUGGGGUAGGAGUGAAAUCCUGUAAUCCGAGACGGACCACCGGUGGCGAAAGCGCUCUGGAAAGACGGAUCCGACGGUGAGGGACGAAAGCUCGGGUCACGAACCGGAUUAGAUACCCGGGUAGUCCGAGCUGUAAACGAUGUCUGCUAGGCGUGGCACAGGCUACGAGCCUGUGCUGUGCCGUAGGGAAGCCGUGAAGCAGACCGCCUGGGAAGUACGUCUGCAAGGAUGAAACUUAAAGGAAUUGGCGGGGGAGCACUACAACCGGAGGAGCCUGCGGUUU
rnacentral:rRNA from 1 species